rnacentral:rRNA from 1 species
UACAGAGGUCUCAAGCGUUGUUCGGAUUCAUUGGGCGUAAAGGGUGCGUAGGUGGCGCGCUAAGUCAGGUGUGAAAUUUCGGAGCUUAACUCCGAAACUGCAUUUGAUACUGGCGUGCUUGAGGACUGGAGAGGAGACUGGAAUUCAUGGUGUAGCGGUGAAAUGCGUAGAUAUCAGGAGGAACACCGGUGGCGAAGGCGGCUACCUGGACAGAAACUGACGCUGAGGCACGAAAGCUAGGGGAGCAAACAGG